rnacentral:rRNA from 1 species
UACGAAGGGGGCUAGCGUUGUUCGGAAUUACUGGGCGUAAAGCGCGCGCAGGCGGUUUUUCAAGUCAGUGGUGAAAGCCCGGAGCUCAACUCCGGAACUGCCAUUGAAACUGUAAAACUUGAGGAUGAGAGAGGUGAGUGGAAUUCCCAGUGUAGAGGUGAAAUUCGUAGAUAUUGGGAAGACCACCAGUGGCGAAGGCGGCUUGCCAGAACGCACUCGACGGUGAGGGAUGAAAGCUGGGGGAGCAAACCGG